UACGUAGGAGACGAGCGUUGUCCGGAGUUACUGGGCGUAAAGGGCGCGCAGGCGGCCGCCCGCGUGUGUGGUGAAAGCUCCUGGCUUAACUAGGAGAGGUCCAUGCAGACGGGGUGGCUUGAGCGUCGGAGAGGGGCAUGGAAUUCCGGGUGGAGCGGUGAAAUGCGUAGAGAUCCGGAGGAACACCAAUGGCGAAGGCAGUGCCCUGGCCGACGGCUGACGCUCAGGCGCGAAAGCGUGGGGAG
rnacentral:rRNA from 1 species